UAUAUAUAUAUAUAUGUGUGUCUGUGUGUGUGUGGACUUUCCGAAUAUAUAAAAUAUGCAGAUACAAGAAUAUAUAGUGGGGUAUUUUAAAAAAUGGGACAAUUCCUAAAAAAAAAAAAUGAAAUUAUGGAUGCUUUAUGCCAAAAUGACAAAGUCAAAAGUCAACUUUUUCAAUGUGAUGGAAUUUAUAAAGGUAGUCUUGAUUACCAAGUUGCUACCAAGUUGUCCUUCCUCUCUCUUCACCUACCAUUUCUCUCUCAUCAUCUGGCUUUUGGGAAAACAAUUACACCAUUAACAGAGCUAAGGUAAGCACAGUCCCUCAAAAUUCUUCCUAUCUCCGGCGGAUUGUCCUUUCUUGUCACCUGUGCUGUCGAUCGAUUCAGAACUUCAUUGAUCCCGAUUGCCGCUACUUCACCUCCUCUUGGAUAGGAUCCGAAUGGGAAAAGCAGGUUCGCAAGUAUGCCGACGAUCGCUGCUCUGGUGGUUGUGGGUGUUUGUCUAUAUAAAUUAGAAGGGAAAAGCAGGAGCUUAAGGGCGGUUACCAUGCCUCCCAAAACAGGUAGAGGAGCCUCAGUUGCAAGCACAAAACCCCACAAAACAAAAGAUGCAUAUGCACAAUCAUCCUCUUCUCAAAACCCUCCCAAAAAAACCUGGUAUGAUAAAGUCGAGGAAGAUGAAGAAGCUAUGUAUGCUAGUCCAUCUCCAUUAAUUACAAACCAGUUUUCAGCCCUAGCCACAAUUUCCCAACAUGUCAUAGACAUGUCCCCAAUCCAGUAUGACCCCAUCCAAACAUACUUACAAUCCCAACAACCAGUUUUUCCUCCCCUUUAAAAAACUUAUGCUGCAAUUUCUUCAGCAUCAGAUAAACAAAUUUCUUCAAGAUCUGUUUCACAGCAAGUGGUGGUCAACAAUCCCACUCUUAAAAAAUCUCGUUAUUUUCAAAAACCAAAUUCAUCAACCAUUUGUGUGGUUGAAAAAGAACUUUUUAACCAAAGUCCAAUUUUACUUUCUCAAAAUCAUUUUGUCAAAGGUUUUCAUUAUCCAACAUCAGAUUUUCGGAAAACACAAAAUUUUUAUGAGUUUAUUUUAGUGGACACUGAUUCCAUCAAAAUUCGAACUCAUUCAAAACCGGGUGAUGAGUCUUUCAUUUCUCACACCACAUGUACCAUUUAAAAAGUCCUUACUCCGACAGCCUGGGGUAAAAACAUCAAUGCUCCGAGGCAAUUUUCUCAGCCUCGCAACCCUCAAACUUUCAAUUACUGGGAUUAUCAGGAUGCCUGGAACAAUACCUUUUAGUUCCAAAAUCAAGAUUAUAGCCAUUCAUGGCUUAUCCUUUUCCAAAAGAAUUUCAAUCUAAAUGUCCCCAGAUGAUUCAUUGACUGGUGGCAUAUGUUUGGUCCCUGCCAAGAAAUUAUCCCUGCAACAGUGUCUAAGGGAUUUUCAAUUUUCAAUGAAAAUUCCAAGCUCCUCCUGAGCUUUCCGAAUUUCCCAAAUCAUUCUUAUUUUUUGCAAAUUUCGCAUUGUCAUGGAUAGUUCUAUGGCAAUUCCAAAUCCUCAAAACCCCUUCUAAUCUUCCUCUUCUAGGAAGGAUUUUCAAAGUCAAAUGGUGGGACCAAUUCUCUAUCAAUCAUGUUACUCCAGAAGCAAUUUCAGAAUGGUUCUCAAAGCACCCUGCAAUAUCAUGUUCUGGCUUAGGAGAGUCUUUGGCUUUCCUCCUAUCCAAAAGCCAGGCCCAAGCAAAGCUUUCUUCAGCAAAAUCCCAAGAUGAGUAUGAAACCUCCUGAUAAGCGCCGAAUAUUGCAUAUUCAAGCGCCCUUAAUUGCAUUAUUUAAGUCCAUUGUUUGUUUAAUUAUGUAGAUUACCUUCAUAUGCACAUUUUUGCAUAUUUUCAGGUUCAUUGGCCAAAAAGAAGCAAGAAGGAUGCUUUGUGGAGUUUUGAACAUCAAAGGUCACAAUGCUGAAUUUCUGGCAACAGUGGAACCUGACUUUUGUCGCCAUUUUCGACCUAGCAAACUCAAGAACUGGACUUCCAUCAUAACAUGAAAGAUUUAGAGCUCUGAAUUAGCUUUCUAAAUCUUCAAACGGUUCGUCAUUUGGAGCUCGGAGCAGAGAGAGAGUUCUUUUCAAAUUUUCCAUCCAUUUGAAUGAGAGGAUGUUGCAACGUUUAAAUUUUUCCCAUACAUUGGCUUGAAUCCAUCAACAUUGCAUGCAUAGGAAUUUCAUGCUCCUCAAAAAUUUUAUCAUGAUCCGCAAAGUUCCUUGCUUGCAUGCAUUUCAUGCAUUUCUAUAUUUCAUGCAUAGUUGCAUGCAUUUCUCUGAUGCAUGCAUUCCUUCCUAUCCGAGCCCACUGCUCAAAUUCUUUAUACUUCCAUGUAUUAAUGAUCUCAUUCCUUGAACCAUCCAUGCAAACUCAUGCAUGGCCAUGCAACAGCAUUCAAGCUCCAUGCCAAGUGCUUUAGUUUUCAAGCUUCACUUUAAUUUGGCUGCAAUUUUUGAGCAAUCCCAUUUCCCAUUUGAGUGCUCGCAGCUUUCAAAGCAUCAAUCCUAGCUCACCGCCUCAAUUUAGAGCAAUCCAAUUUCCAUGUGGAGUGCUCGAAAUUCCUUGCAGCUGCAAUCAAGGUUCAACACCAAAAUCACGAGCCUACUGCCUUCAUUUAGAGCAUUCUAGCUCCCAUUUGGAGUGCUCUAAAUGUGAACCGAUCUUGCAUGCACUCACUGCCCAAUUUUAGAGCACUCUAAAUUCCAUUUGGAGUGCUCUAAAUUUUCAGCCCAACUUCCGCAGCUACUGCCUCAGAAUCGAGCACUCGUAGGCCAAGCUUCGAGUGCUCGAAACUUCACCAUUUCCUUACCCUGCUCGCUGCCUAAUUGUCGAGCACUCUAGAUCCCCUGUGGAGUGCUCGAAAAUUGCCAUUCCUCUCAUCUCCAACCAAAGCUCCCACAACCAAAACCACCGUCUCAUCAACCCAACUUUCUUUCUCAUUUCUCUCAACCCAAGUAACCCCACACAUCAUGCAUGCCACCCCUCGGCAAAACCAACCAACCCUCUCUAACCCCAUAACCUAGCACACACAGCAUUCUCUCUCUCUCUCCCCAACCAUCCCAACACUCAUCAUACAACUCCUUCUCUCUCUCACCUCACCACCAUCCCCUCAUGCAUGCCCAUCAUGCAUGCUCUUCUCUGUCUCUCAACCAACAUCACACACACCUCCCCAUCCACUCUUCACCACCCGGCAGCUUCACCCUCACCACCAUGCAAUCUCCACUAACCCGUCCCUCUUAACUAACCCACCACCAAGCCACCACCCACAACUCCACAUACCAACCCACCUCACAAACCAUGCUCGAACUCCACCAACCUGCACACCUCUCACUCUCGGCAUCCACCUAUAAACCAUGCCAACCCAAUCCUCACAGCAAACAAUCCCCUCUCGGCAUCUUUGCAUACCACCACAUCAACCAAACCAACUCCCAAGCCCCAUGCAUGCAUGCCCCUCACCAUGCACCAACCAUAUCAACCAAACCAACCUCACCUUCUCCAUCUCCCUCACCUGCAAACCACCAACUCAACCUCAACCCCACACACCAUCCUCCUCCCUCUCGGCAACUCCUCAACCAACCCACAUUAACCCACAACCAUGCAUGCACAACCUUCAUCUCAAACGCAUCAACCUCACCUCAUCAUCCUCAACCAGCAUCUCACCUCCCCAACCAACCACCAUCCCUCUUGGCCUCACACCAUUCAACCCACAUCUCACUCACUCACUGCCAAGACUUCGAGUACUCGAAGUCCCAUUUCGAGUGCUCGAAGUGUGAACCAACUACACCAUCCUCACAAUCCCGAACCCACUGCCCAAAACUCGAGCACUCCAACUCCCAUUUGGAGUGCUCGAGCCCAACACCAACCACUCAUCCCUCUUAACCGAGCCUCACCAACAUCCACACAAACCAACCAACCUACACACAACCCAUCUUUCUCUCUCUGCAACUCAACCACUCCAUCCCUCCAUAACCAAACCACCACACAAGGAAAUGCAUUCAUGCAUGCACCACCACUUUCACCCCACAUUUCCCACCAUGCAUGCACCUCUCUAUACAUGCUUAUCCAUUUCCUUCCACUCCCCAUGCCUGCUUACCCACCCAUCCAUCAAUCUCUCAUCCACAUCUUCCAUUAACCACAAAUAAUGGGCCUUGUGUUCUCCAUUGUUGGGUAAGUGUCUAACCCUCUUUUUCUUUCCAUUUUUUAUCAAUGGAGGAUGGGAUUGCUUGUGUGAAGGAUUUGUGAUUGUUUGGGAGUUGUGUAUUGCAUUUGCAGGGCCAAAUUUUUGGAUUUUCUCAUCUCUAAUCAACCUUUGGCCCUCUUCCUUUUUGUCUUGCACACCACGUGUUUGACGAAUUUCCUGAGCCAACUUCAUCUCUCUAAAUUCCCCACUUUUGGCCCUAUUUUGUUAUCUAUUUUAAACUUGUGGCUAAUGUCUGCAUUUGUGUUUUGUUUGGCUUUUUAUCUUGUACUAAAAUUCAGGUCUUCAUGUCCAAGUUUGGGGGACGCCGUUGCGUACUCACAUGGCUGCACAUCUACGUCGUCGUCACUCCACUUGGUAUUAUUGUUCUUUUCCCCCCUUUGCUCUUAUUUUGGUAUGCUUGUCUUCACACAUUGAGGACACUGUGUUAUUCAAGUUUGGGGGUGCAUUUAUGCAUUUUUUGUUUUGCAUUUUUGCUAAGCAAUGAUAGUAUAACUUGACACUAGUUGGAGAUGAAGCAUAUGUUUAAUACCUUGUGUAUAGAAGUAAUUGACAUUUUUGAAAAUAAAGAAAAAUUUGAGUUGAAAUGAUCAUGUGGAUUCAAAUUAGUCUGUAUAAAUGUCUCAAUUAGAUUCUUACUGGAUUUGACACUCUUUUAAGCUUCACAAUGCACAUAUGCACAUUGGAAACUAAACUGUGAGGCAUGCAACUUGAUCGACCUUGACCUUGGCCUAGUUAAUUUGAUUUGAUGAACCUGAUAAAUGAAUAUCUUUGGCAUGAUAUAAGUUGUCAAAAAAAAAAAAAAAAAAAUUGAAGAUGAGAAAGAAAGAAAAUAAUGACCAGUUGACGUUCGUAGCCUUUCCAACUCGAACUAUUAAGCCCUAGGAGUGUCUCUACACUUAGCACCCUAAAGCCGUCUGGUUUGGGAGUUGUUGGCCUAACGCUUGUUAUAUGGGUUGGUUAGAAAGCUUAAAGGACUUAAACAUUGCACGGUCAUUCAAAAAAUAAACUGGUAAUAAACAUGGUUCGUUGGAGUUCGUAGCCUUUCCAACUUGAGCUAUUAAGCCCUAUGGAGUGUCUCUACACUUAACACCCUAAAGCCAUCUGGUUUGGGAGUUGUUGGCCUAACGCUUGCUACAUAGGUUGGUUAGAAAACUUAAGGGACUUCAGCAUUGCACAACCAUUCUAUGUUUCGCUUCUGAGUUACAAUAAAUUGUCAACAAGCAACAAAAGUUGUCUUGUAAAUAAAAUCAUGCCUUAGGGACCUCAUUUAAAGGGGAAUUCAAUGAUUUGAAAACUUGUGCUUUGGAAUUGGAAAAGAAAGUAAAAGCCGCAUGUUGAGAAUCCAAUUCAUUUUCACUGAAGUUAGAGUUGAUUUCCAUUCAAGAGAUGAUAAUUGAGUUAUUUAUAUAGUCUAUGAUGUUGAUACAUACAUGUUGAAAUGUGUUUAGUAUCAAUGCUUCAUAUAUGCAAAGUAGUCUUCCCAAUGACCCCAUCUCCAGUUUUUUGUUGUUUCAAAUUGUAUUUGAGCUAUGUUUGCACUUCAUUUCACCAUGGAUGAUAUUUUUGUAGUAGCAUGCCCAUGGUUGUAUUUUCAUUGAAGUAUUCAUUUUGGUUUUGCUAAGGGACUAGCAAAAUGUAAGUUUGGGGGUGUGAUAAGCGCCGAAUAUUGCAUAUUCAAGCGGCCUUAAUUGCAUUAUUUAAGUCCAUUGUUUGUUGAAUUAUGUAGAUUACCUUCAUAUGCACGUUUUUGCAUAUUUUCAGGUUCAUUGGCUAAAAAGAAGCAAGAAGGAUGCUUUGUGGAGUUUUGAACAUCAAAGGUCACAAUGCUGAAUUUCUGGCAAAAGUGGAACCUGACUUUUGUCGCCAUUUUCGACCUAGCAAACUUAAGAACUGGACUUCUAUCAUAACAUGAAAGAUUUAGAGCUCUGAAUUAGCUUUCUAAAUCUUCAAAUGGUUUGUCAUUCGGAGCUCGGAGCAGAGAGUUAUGGCCUUGUUACCAGAGGUGCGCAGAACUGUCUGGCAGCACUAAAGUACUGCCUUUCUCCCCAUUUUCGACCAACCAGACUUGAGAUUUGGGUCUUCAUCAAAACAUGAAGUUUUUAAAUCUCUGAAUCAUCUCUCCAAAUCUUCAAACGGUUCGUCAUUCGGAGUUCAAAGCGCAAAGUUAUGGCCAUUUCAUCAAAGUAGGUCUGGGCGGAGCAAGUGAAGCAUGGAGCUUUUUACACUAAAUUCGUGUGCUCGAGGCCCUAUUUCGAGCACUCGAAAUUUGGGCAGUUUGCUCCACGAGACAGCCCACUUGUGCUCUGAAAUUUCCAAUUGUGGAUGGCCCUCUUUUAUGAGGUGGUUGGGGAUGUUUUUGGAGGAGAGAGAGAGCCUAGUUUGGUGGUAGAUAAGAGGGAUAAGAGCCACACAUCUCAUAAGCUUCAUUCUACAAGAUUAGAGGAGAAAGAAGAGAGCAAGGGGAUAGAGUUCUUCAAGCUUGAAGAAGGGAGCACGAAAAUGGAGGAGGUUUUCAAGCUUCUUCCUUCCUCCAUUGCUCCUAUGGGUAACUAAAUCUUCUCUAGGGAGGUGAUGAAGCUCCUCCCUUGUAAGCAUGUGCUAGUGUAGAUUUUAUUUUGGGGAGAACAAUGUAUAGUUUUUGGUUAUUUUAUGAUCUAGAGCAUCAUAUUUGUUGUAAUGAACUUUAAUGUCUAUACAUGAUUAUUUUGAGUUA